UACGAAGGGGGCUAGCGUUGCUCGGAAUCACUGGGCGUAAAGGGCGCGUAGGCGGCCUGAUCAGUCGGGGGUGAAAGCCUGUGGCUCAACCACAGAAUGGCCUUCGAUACUGUCGGGCUUGAGACCGGAAGAGGUAAGUGGAACUGCGAGUGUAGAGGUGAAAUUCGUAGAUAUUCGCAAGAACACCAGUGGCGAAGGCGGCUUACUGGUCCGGAUCUGACGCUGUGGCGCGAAAGCGUGGGGAGCAAACAGG
rnacentral:rRNA from 1 species